UGACCGAUAGCUCAGUUGGUAGAGCAUGAGAUUCUUAACCUCAGGGCCGUGGGUUCGAACCCCACAUUGGGCAA